ACGGGGAGGUCUGGGAUGGGAGUCCAGUCUUCGACAGCGGCCCAUGCAGCGGCUCACCUUCCAGGCUGGGGAUCCCUACUACAUCAGUAAACGCAAGAGAGAUGAGUGGCUGGCCCGGUGGAAACGAGAGGCUGAGAAGAAAGCCAAGGUCAUUGCAGUGAUGAAUGUCGUAGAAGAAACCCAGGGAUCUGGAGAGUCGCAGAAGGUGGAGGAGGCCAGCCCUCCUGCUUUACAGCAACCUACUGAUCCUGCUUCCCCCACUGUGGCCACCACACCUGAGCCAGUGGGGGCUGAUGCUGGGGACAAGAAUAAUGCUAAGGCCACUGAUGAUGAGCCUGAAUAUGAGGAUGGCCGGGGCUUUGGCAUUGGGGAACUGGUAUGGGGAAAACUGCGGGGCUUCUCCUGGUGGCCUGGCCGCAUUGUGUCCUGGUGGAUGACAGGCCGAAGUCGGGCGGCUGAAGGCACUCGAUGGGUCAUGUGGUUUGGAGAUGGCAAGUUCUCAGUGGUUUGCGUUGAGAAAUUGAUGCCACUGAGCUCCUUCUGCAGCGCCUUCCACCAGGCCACAUAUAACAAGCAGCCUAUGUACCGGAAAGCCAUCUAUGAGGUCCUUCAGGUGGCCAGCAGCCGAGCCGGGAAGCUGUUUCCGGCCUGCCCUGAGAACGAUGACAGUGACACAGCCAAGGCCGUGGAGGUGCAGAACAAACAAAUGAUCGAGUGGGCUCUGGGUGGCUUCCAGCCCUCUGGCCCCAAGGGCCUGGAGCCACCAGAAGAAGAGAGAAAUCCCUACAAGGAAGUUUACACUGACAUGUGGGCCCCAGUAGAACCUGAAGCUGCUGCCUAUGCCCCACCUCCACCAGCCAAAAAGCCCCGAAAGAGCACAGCAGAGAAGCCCAAGAUCAAAGAGAUCAUUGACGAACGCACAAGAGAGCGGCUGGUAUAUGAGGUGCGGCAGAAGUGCAGGAAUAUUGAAGACAUCUGCAUCUCGUGUGGGAGCCUCAAUGUCACCCUGGAACACCCCCUCUUCAUCGGAGGAAUGUGCCAAAACUGCAAGAACUGCUUCCUGGAGUGUGCCUAUCAGUACGACGAUGACGGCUACCAGUCAUAUUGUACUAUCUGCUGUGGGGGCCGAGAGGUCCUCAUGUGUGGGAACAACAACUGUUGCAGGUGCUUCUGUGUGGAAUGUGUGGACCUCUUGGUUGGACCAGGUGCUGCCCAGGCAGCCAUCAAAGAAGACCCCUGGAACUGCUACAUGUGUGGGCACAAAGGCACCUACGGGCUGCUACGGCGGCGAGAAGACUGGCCAUCGCGCCUCCAGAUGUUUUUCGCCAAUAACCAUGACCAGGAGUUUGACCCUCCCAAAGUUUAUCCCCCAGUCCCAGCUGAGAAACGGAAACCAAUCCGGGUGCUAUCUCUUUUUGAUGGAAUUGCCACAGGACUGUUGGUGCUGAAGGACCUGGGGAUCCAGGUAGACCGCUACAUUGCCUCAGAGGUGUGUGAGGACUCCAUCACUGUGGGCAUGGUGCGGCACCAAGGGAAGAUCAUGUACGUGGGGGACGUCCGCAAUGUCACACAGAAGCACAUACAGGAAUGGGGCCCUUUUGAUUUGGUGAUUGGAGGCAGUCCCUGCAAUGACCUUUCUAUUGUCAACCCUGCUCGGAAGGGUCUCUAUGAGGGCACUGGACGGCUCUUCUUUGAGUUCUACCGCCUUCUGCAUGAGGCCCGGCCCAAGGAGGGUGAUGACCGCCCCUUCUUCUGGCUCUUUGAAAAUGUGGUGGCCAUGGGAGUCAGUGAUAAGCGGGACAUCUCACGCUUUCUGGAGUCCAACCCUGUGAUGAUUGAUGCCAAAGAAGUGUCAGCGGCGCACAGGGCUCGCUACUUCUGGGGUAACCUUCCCGGUAUGAACAGGUUGGUGAGAGCAGGGCCAUUGGCAUCUACCGUGAAUGAUAAGCUGGAGCUUCAGGAGUGUUUGGAGCAUGGCAGGAUAGCAAAGUUCAGCAAAGUGAGGACCAUCACAACUAGGUCAAACUCCAUCAAGCAGGGCAAAGACCAGCAUUUUCCAGUCUUCAUGAAUGAGAAAGAGGACAUCUUAUGGUGCACUGAAAUGGAGAGGGUCUUUGGCUUCCCAGUCCAUUACACGGAUGUCUCCAACAUGAGCCGUUUGGCAAGGCAAAGACUGCUAGGCCGGUCAUGGAGCGUUCCUGUGAUCCGCCACCUCUUCGCCCCCUUGAAGGAAUAUUUUGCCUGUGUGUAAGGGACAUGGAAGUGAACUGGGAUAGUGACAUCUAAUCAAAGCAAAACCACCAAGAACGAGAGGAUGGAGAGAAGUAUCAGCACCCGGAAGAGAAAAAAAGGAAUUUCAAGCAAACAAACAAACAAAACACGAAAAACCACCACAGAUGCGAAAACAUCCGCAAAGGCAUCGCCGAGCAAAAGGCUCCCCAAAAAUGGAGGCCAGUAGGAAUGGGCAAGUCCCUGUUGACUCCAGUAACUGGAAAUUCUCACCUCGGAUCAGCCCAGAUUGGAAGGGGGUAGCUUUACCUGACACCAGAUCAAGUGGUCUCCAGCCCCAAACCUGGGGAGAUGAACAGGGAAAUUGGAAACAUGUCACAAUUCAUUUUGUAAAGUAAUUUUGUUGAACAGCCCAAGAUGUCAACAAAAUGAGAGAGGGAAAGAAAUGCCUAAAUUCCUUAGAAGACACAGCGGAAGUAGGUGAAUCAACAAGGUGCUAAAAAAAACAAAAAAACAAAAAAAAACACAUUUUAUUAAAAAUAUAUAUUGUUAAAUUAAGUCUGCUGUCUGGACAAUGACUGUUUGUUUUGUUUUCUUGUAGUGGAGUUUAAAAGAGACUAUUAUUUUACUCUGAUAUAUUAUUAUUAAAAAGGCAUUUUAACUUUGUACUUGAAAACUAAAUGAGCGAUUUCAUGUGUUUUAGCUGAGGCAUUGAAGUAGCGGGUGCUUACCUAUUUGUGGGAAAUCAUGUAUUCAUACAGAAGAAUAAACUCUGUAGAGGAUUUGGUUUAAAACAAAACAAAACAACAAAACUCUUACUGUUACAGAGAUCUGGCUUUGGCCCCAGAGGCAGAGCGCUUGAUUCCACAUUCCAUGCAGCUAAAUGCAGGACUUUUGUUUUUCCCAGACUAUGCGUUUUUCCCCCCACCCCCACCCCAACUUUGUUUUUCUAAAAGUUCCCUAUUUUGAAAAAAACAAAAACAA